rnacentral:rRNA from 1 species
CCUUAACCUGGCCUUGACAUACUAAGAACUUUCCAGAGAUGGAUUGGUGCCUUCGGGAACUUAGAUACAGGUGCUGCAUGGCUGUCGUCAGCUCGUGUCGUGAGAUGUUGGGUUAAGUCCCGCAACGAGCGCAACCCUUUUCCUUAUUUGCCAGCGGGUAAUGCCGGGAACUUUAAGGAUACUGCCAGUGACAAACUGGAGGAAGGCGGGGACGACGUCAAGUCAUCAUGGCCCUUACGGCCAGGGCUACACACGUGCUACAAUGGUCGGUACAAAGGGUUGCUACCUCGCGAGAGGAUGCUAAUCUCAAAAAGCCGAUCGUAGUCCGGAUCGCAGUCUGUAACUCGACUGCGUGAAGUCGGAAUCGCUAGUAAUCGCGGAUCAGAAUGCCGCGGUGAAUACGUUCCCGGGCCUUGUACACACCGCCCGUCACACCAUGGGAGUUUGUUGCACCAGAAGUAGGUAGUCUAACCGCAAGGAGGACGCUUACCACGGUGUGGCCGAUGACUGGGGUGAAGUCGUAACAAGGUAAGCGUAGAUGA